UACGUAGGGUGCAAGCGUUGUCCGGAAUUAUUGGGCGUAAAGAGUUUGUAGGCGGUUUGUCGCGUCUGCUGUGAAAUUUCGGGGCUCAACCCCGAACCUGCAGUGGGUACGGGCAGGCUAGAGUGUGGUAGGGGAGACUGGAAUUCCUGGUGUAGCGGUGAAAUGCGCAGAUAUCAGGAGGAACACCGAUGGCGAAGGCAGGUCUCUGGGCCAUAACUGACGCUGAGAAGCGAAAGCAUGGGGAGCGAACAGG
rnacentral:rRNA from 1 species